rnacentral:rRNA from 1 species
GUAUCUUGACCGUGCGAAGGUAGCGUAAUCACUUGUCUUUUAAAUGAAGACCUGUAUGAAUGGCAUCACGAGGGCUUAGCUGUCUCCCAUCUCCAGUCAAUGAAAUUGACCUCCCCGUGCAGAGGCGGGGAUAACUACAUAAGACGAGAAGACCCUAUGGAGCUUUAGACCUAAAGUAAGUCACGUUUAACAUGCUACGAUAAUAGUAAAAACUUAGUGAUAAUUACUGAAGUGUCUUUGGUUGGGGCGACCGCGGGGUAAAACACAACCCCCAUGUGGACCGGGGAUAUUAUCCCUAAUACUCAGAGCCUCUACUCCAAGUAACAGAAAUUCUGACUUUUCUGAUCCGGUAUAACCGAUCAACGAACCGAGUUACCCUAGGGAUAACAGCGCAAUCCCCUCUCAGAGCCCAUAUCGACGAGGGGGUUUACGACCUCGAUGUUGGAUCAGGACAUCCUAAUGGUGCAGCCGCUAUUAAGGGUUCGUUUGUUCAACGAUUAAAGUCCUACGUGAUCUGAGUUCAGAC